AUGCUCAUUAUCACUAAAUUCCAUUUUCACAAACUCAACUCUCAUCAUCAAAAUUUCAAACCAAAGACCUGUAAAAUUCAGUCCAGCACCACGUUACACAAACACAACCACCACGCGGCAUCGAUGAAAUCAAUCACAAUCAAAUUUAAUAGAACAUAUCAUAGGAAUAUUAAAUUAUUGGUGUUGUUGUUUUUUUCUUUAACCUUCAUUGUAGGAAAGAAGAAGAGGAAUCCGAGAUGA